AACGCAUAUGGCACCCGAGACUUCGGUCGAGGGUAUAUCUGUCUCAGAGUCGACGUUAAAACAUCCCCGAGGGAAGACCCACCGCGUGUACUUCCUUUCGGGGGAGCUGGCCCCCCCGGUUCCGCGGGCCUUCACGGGCUUUGCGUCGGGUCGGCUGAAGGUGAGAGACGGGGGACCGCGUUGCGCCGGGCAGCCACGAUUUUGGUGGGAGGACCUCGAGUCCGCAACACUGAUCGCGCGCCCACUCUAGCACGCGGCCGUUGGGACCCCGCCCGUGCAGGAAUAAAACUGAGACAUGUUUUUCGACCUGAGAUCAGGUAAGAUCACCCGCUGAACUUAA
rnacentral:misc_RNA from 1 species